UUGCAACCCUUUCUCCUCCUCCUCUUCUCUAGCGGCGAUGAACGAGUAAAUCUCUCCCUCUUCUUCUUCUCAAGCACAGCAGCCCUCUUCUUCUCCUCCAGCACUUUUUCUCCUCCUCUAGCAAGGGCAGAGAACUGUUUUCUCCGACCACUAGCCUUUGCUUCCUCUUCUCUGCUUCUCGGCAGCAUCGUCGGAGCUCCUCGGAGUGUGUCAGAGCCGCCGGACCAUCAGAAAAGAGGGGAAAGCAAAGCCCUAGUUGCUGCCCUCUUUUCUAGCCCAACCACAGCAGCCAUCGGAGCUAGCUGUGGCCUUCGCUGGAGCUCGCCGAGAUCACCGCAGCCUUAGCUGCUGUCCUUUUAUUGGCAGCAUCGUCGUUGUUCGCCGGAGCUUGCCGCAGCUUGCCGGAGUUGUCGACAAAGAACCUUAUUUGCUGCCCUAAUUUCCAGCAGCCACACAAAACCCUUAGAAGAUCUGAGCUCGAGUGGAGCACGGUGACCUGCCGAUACUCGGAGAUUUUGCUGUAUAUAAGUUUUGCAGACACAGGGAUCCUUUUGGUAUUACUGUUGAUUUUGGACUUUCAUAGAGUUGCUCAGAGAUCUCGACGUGCUGAUUUUCUGGCAAUGCCACGAGCCCAUGGUCGCGGUUGGGGCAGUAGCCGUGCUCGUAGUCACAGUCGUGGUUACGACAGUGGUAGUGGUCGC